rnacentral:rRNA from 1 species
CCCCAGACUCCUACGGGAGGCAGCAGUGGGGAAUAUUGCACAAUGGGGGAAACCCUGAUGCAGCGACGCCGCGUGAGUGAAGAAGUAUUUCGGUAUGUAAAGCUCUAUCAGCAGGGAAGAAAAUGACGGUACCUGAGUAAGAAGCCCCGGCUAACUACGUGCCAGCAGCCGCGGUAAUACGUAGGGGGCAAGCGUUAUCCGGAUUUACUGGGUGUAAAGGGAGCGUAGACGGCGAUGCAAGUCUGAAGUGAAAGCCCGGGGCUCAACCCCGGGACUGCUUUGGAAACUGUAUGGCUGGAGUGCUGGAGAGGCAAGCGGAAUUCCUAGUGUAGCGGUGAAAUGCGUAGAUAUUAGGAAGAACACCAGUGGCGAAGGCGGCUUACUGGACUGUAACUGACGUUGAGGCUCGAAAGCGUGGGGAGCAAACAGGAUUAGAUACCCGGGUAC